GUGUCGGAAGACUCAAUAGAAAAGUUGGAAAAGCCAACGCGGUCCCGCCACUGUAACAGCGAGCGCUCCUAUAUAUGUCACUGGGGAAUUUCCUCUGGGAAGGCGUAGGAGGGCUAAGACCUGAAGCCAGGAGAACUGCCUGAUCAA
rnacentral:ncRNA from 1 species